rnacentral:rRNA from 2 species
AGCAUCUGAAAUGAAGUAGGACCACCC